AUCAACUUUCGAUGGUAGGAUAGAGGCCUACCAUGGUGGUAACGGGUAACGGGGUGUUAGGGCACGACACCGGAGAGGGAGCCUGAGAAACGGCUACCACAUCCAAGGAUGGCAGCAGGCGCGCAAAUUACCCAAUCCCGACACGGGGAGGUAGUGACAAUAAAUAACAAUACGGGGUUCUAUAGGAUUUCGUAAUUGGAAUGAGUACAAUUUAAAUCUCUUAACGAUCAACAAUUGGAGGGCAAGUCUGGUGCCAGCAGCCGCGGUAAUUCCAGCUCCAAUAGCGUAUAUUAAAGUUGUUGCAGUUAAAAAGCUCGUAGUUGAAUUUCGGGAUCAUCAGGUUGGUCGUGCCUCUGGUAUGUACUGAUUUCGAUGGUCCCUCCUUCUUGAAGAGCCGUAAUGCCAUUAAUUUGGUGUUGCGGGGAAUCAGGACUGUUACUUUGAAAAAAUUAGAGUGUUUAAAGCAGGCAAUCGCUUGAAUACAUUAGCAUGGAAUAAUGAAAUAGGACGUUCGAUCCUAUUUUGUUGGUUUCUAGGAUUGACGUAAUGAUUAAUAGGGAUAGUUGGGGGCAUUAGUAUUCAAUUGUCAGAGGUGAAAUUCUUGGAUUUAUUGAAGACUAACUACUGCGAAAGCAUUUGCCAAGGAUGUUUUCAUUAAUCAAGAACGAAAGUUAGGGGAUCGAAGACGAUCAGAUACCGUCGUAGUCUUAACCAUAAACUAUGCCGACUAGGGAUCGGAUGAUGUUAAUUUUUUAAUGACUCAUUCGGCGCCUUACGGGAAACCAAAGUGUUUGGGUU
rnacentral:rRNA from 1 species